rnacentral:misc_RNA from 1 species
AAUUCUCAACCUUAUCAGUUGGAUGGUGGGGGUUGCUGGCUCAGGUCAGCUCUCCUUAAAUGCAUUAGCUGGUGCGAUAUUGGUGUGAUAAUUAUCUACGCCAUGGAUUAGCACUGCUUCUAACGACACUACAUGACA